rnacentral:rRNA from 1 species
ACGCUCGACACCUACGGGAGCAGCAGUUGGGAAUAUUGGACAAUGGAGGAAACUCUGAUCCAGUGACGCCGCGUGAAGGAAGAAGGUCUUCGGAUUGUAAACUUAUUUUGUCAGGGAAGAAAAAUGACUGUACCUGAAGAAAAAGCACCGGCUAACUACGUGCCAGCAGCCGCGGUAAUCUGAGGCGGGCUGGCAAGGC